CUGCCUACAGGAUAACAGUAUAUCCUUUAUCUUUACAACCAUCAGAAAUAACAAUUUCCCUGGCUGGUUUCACUGUUAGUAUGCAGUAAGGGUUUCAACACCUUCAGGAUCCACAUUCUUCCCACCAUCACUGUCAACUAUAUCAUCAACACCAGAAUCAUUUUCUAAUUCAGGCUGUCCAAAGACAAGAUCAAUUGGGAGCUUUAUUUCAGAGCCAUAGACCAUAGAUGCAGGUGUGACACCAAUGGCUUCAUGUACAGAACUACAAUGGGCCAUGAAACAUAAAGAUUUCAGGUGUGCAGUGUUCCCGAUUGUUCCACUCCAGUGUACUAUGCAGGGAAAUGUGUCAGGUAUUAUGUUGCUUCUGUCCUGUCUGUGUCUUCAGUAAGGCCAACACCAUUUUCUCCGCUGGUAUCCCAGGCACCAAAGGGUAUUCUGGCCCAACACCAAAUAGCUAUUCCAGCCCAAUUCCUGGAUAUUCCAGCCCAACACCUGGUUCAACAGCAAGACCAUCCUGAAGCCCAGCACCAAGUGUGGGAAGCCCAUUGUUGGACCAAAAAUUGAAGCCUUCUUUGCAAAUAUAGGUGCCCAUGAUAUGUGGAUCCACAGCCAUACUGUAAGAUGGUUCAGAAUCCUGCCACCAAGUGCUGCAUGAAACCCUCAUGCAAUGCUUGUUCACAAACACCUACACCACAGACAUACACACCAGAUGUAUGUGUAUACAAAGAAGUACAUACCAGGAAGGACAAUUGUGGUAUUAUGGCUGUAACAAUGUUUGUAUGGCAAAUGUAACAAAAACAUAUACACAUAUAAACAAAGAUUUGCAAUGCAUGCUACUAUCCAACAAGGCUGUGUACUGGUUCCUGACCCAAAAGAUCCCUCGUGCUGCUGGGUACCAAGUUGUUUGAUCCCUCUGAAACAAACCAUUGGUAUAGUGGUUGCUCCUGAAUCUACUGGGACCAUAGCAGGUUGUAUAUACAAAGGAAUGCUUGUGUAUCAGGGACAGAUAAUUGAUGACGGUUAUGAUUAUUCAUCGGAAUGCCUUGAUAAUACAGAUGAGAUAAAAGCUGCUUGUAUAUAAAAUGGUCAAGUCUACAAAUAAGGGGCUACAUCAUCAGGACAGAUGGGUGUAAAUAUAAUUGUGAAUGUAUAGAUGUAUUGGUGGACAGUACAAGUGUACAGAAAGGUGUGCUGUAUGUGACCUUGACAUGCCUUGCUGCAACCUUGACACUUCUUGCUGCAACCUUGACACCCCUUGCUGCGACCUUGACACUCCUGCAAAGUUGUUUUCCUGCAUGUAUCCACACACAUGAAGUGCUAGCGGCUAAUGAAGAACUAUGGUCUCAUACUGAUGCUUAUCCAUAUUUUGUUUAGAAUACUUACCUCUUUAUACGAGUUCAAUGUAUUUGGAUGUGUUCAUUCAAAAGAAUGUGAUUCAAAUGAUUAAAUAAUGGGUCAGUAAGAAUCUUAUGUCAAAGAGUUUAUUAGUGGAUCUCCUUCACUUUCUUCUUUUUUCCCUGUAUUUAUAUCGUAUUGUUGAAUUACAAUACAUUUUGGAUACAUGAGUGAGUGAGUUGGGUUUUACGGCAAAUCAACACAAUAUAUAGAGAUAUAUAUCUAUAGCCAAACUUGGCGAUAUAUGACCAUUUUGUGUUGAUUCACCGUAAAACCCAACUCACUCCUAUAUGUUCGCUUUCAAAGCCUAUAGCAAUUAGAGAAACUGUUAGCGAACAGCAUGGAUCCUGACCAGACUGGUCGGAUCCAUGCAGGUCGCAAACCCACUAUGUUGGUUUUUUCAUGGCAUGGCUCAUAUGUUGUAUGUAAUGAAUUAAAUGGUUGUAUAAUAUUAAAUUAUUUAAGUAUAUUUUUUAAACACAUUUUUGACAUAGUUAACUUGUACGGAAUACUUUACAUAAAAAUUAUAAAUGUUUUUCAGCUGUAAUUGUUUUUUCAGUAAAAUAGAACUAUAUAUACAUCCUUUCAUAUUAAAAUGUGAAGCAAAAUAUAUAAUUCCAUUCACCUGCUUUAAACAUACUUAUUUUGAGGUCUUUAUGUUGCAAAAGGCAUUAUGUGAAUAUAUAAAGGGCAUUUUGUUUGUUUCAGUGUAAGAUAUAAAUAUUUUUGACAAGUGAAUACCAGAGGCAGUAUUUUCAUGAAUGGCACGGCUGCAUGUGAAAAUGUAAAACAUAGUGUUCAUGUGUGAAAGAUAUUUAGAUUUUACAUGUAAAGCAAUUUUUCUGUAUAUGUUUUGACAAAAUUUACCCAUUUUAUAGUUUCUUACCAGUGAAAACUACAAAUAUGUUUACUGUGAAAAUACCAGAUAUAUUUCAAUAACUCACUAAAAUCUUGUAAUUUAUUUUGAUCUUACACUUAAACACACAAAAUUUAUGUUUUUGUUUGGCUACAAGACACCUAUUUAGAAAAAAAGAUAAUUGAGCCACACCAUGAGAAAACCAACAUCCGCACAGUCUGUUCAGGAUCAUGCUGUUCACUAUUGGCUUCUCUAAUUGCAAUAGGCUUUGAAAGCGAACAGCAUAGAUCCGGUCCAGACUGCGCAUCUGCGCAGUCUGGUCUGGAUCCAUGCUGGUCGCAAAGCCACUACGUUGGUUUUCUCAUUACGCUGCUAAUAUUUUGUUAGCAGUCUUUCAAUAAUGGAACAUCAUUGUGUGGGUUGUUUGCCAACAGCUAAAAUACUGCUGUAUUCAGAUAUUGACCUCUUAAGGUUCAUGAUCUUUUUGUGAAAAUGAAAGUUUUCAGAUAUUUUAACAAAUUCUCAUUGUGAUACAAAAUUUGUUCUACAGGUUUCUUGCAGCUUACACUUUCAGUCAAACUUUGUGGUCUACAGGUUUCUUGCAGCUUACACUAUCAGUCAAACUUUGUGUUCUACAGGUUUCUUGCAGCUUACACUAUCAGUCAAACUUUGUGUUCUACAGGUUUCUUGCAGCUUACACUAUCAGUCAAACUUUGUGUUCUACAGGUUUCUUGCAGCUUACACUUUCAGUCAAAUUUUGUGUUCUACAGGUUUCUUGCAGCUUACAAUCGCAGUCAAACUUUGUGUGGUACAGGUUUCUUGCAGCUUACACUUUCAGUCAAACUUUGUGGUCUACAGGUUUCUUGCAGCUUACAAUUACAGUCAAUCAUUGUGUUUUACAGGUUUCUUGCAGCUUACACAUUCAGUCAAACUUUGUGUUCUACAGGUUUCUUGCAGCUUACAAUUACAGUCAAACUUUGUGUUCUACAGGUUUCUUGCAGCUUACACUUUCAGUCAAACUUUGUGUUCUGCAGGUUUCUUGCAGCUUACAAUUACAGUCAAACUUUGUGUUCUACAGGUUUCUUGCAGCUUACACUUUCAGUCAAACUUUGUGUGGUACAGGUUUCUUGCAGCUUACACUUUCAAUCAAACUUUGUGUGGUACAGAUUUCUUGCAGCUUACAAUUGCAGUCAAACUUUGUGUUCUACAUGUUUCUUGCAGCUUACACUGUCAGUCAAAUUUUGUGUUCUACAGGUUUCUUGCAGCUUAUACUUUCAGUCAAACUUUGUGUGAUACAGGUUUCUUGCAGCUUACACUUUCAGUCAAACUUUGUGUGGUACAGAUUUCUUGCAGCUUACAAUUGCAGUCAAACUUUGUGUUCUACAUGUUUCUUGCAGCUUACACUAUCAGUCAAAUUUUGUGUUCUACAGGUUUCUUGCAGCUUACACUUUCAGUCAAACUUUGUGGUCUACAGGUUUCUUGCAGCUUACAAUUACAGUCAAACUUUGUGUUCUACAGGUUUCUUGCAGCUUACAGUUACAGUCAAACUUUGUGUUCUACAGUCAAACUUUGUGUACUACAGGUUUCUUGCAGCUUACACUUUCAGUCAAACUUUGUGUUCUACAGGUUUCUUCCAGACUGAAGUGUUUACAUAUUUAUAUGCCACUAUGUUCUGGCGUGUUUGUUUCAGUGCCAUCAUGUAGGUGAUAUGUACUAUAUUUAAAAACUGCAUAUAUAAACUUUGAAUGAAAAUUUUACAUCUGAUUUCUAAAUCCAACCUUAGAUGUUAUUAAAAGUAACAUUUUCACAGAAGUAUCUACUUAAUACUUUAAUCAAAAUUUACUGAAUAUCUGAAGAUUCUGUUUUAUGCAAUGGGAGGUUUUUAUAAUAGCAUAUGGCCAGUCAAUUGAGGUAUCGAGCUAAAAUGUAGUGCUGUAAAAUGUGAAGAAUUUGUGUGGUUAGAAUCGAAAUAAUAAAUAUGUUCCAAUAGUUUUAUCAGUUAAUUCAAUAUGGGCAGUCGUUUCGAAUGUGAGUAUUAAAUCAUGUGAUACGCUCUCAUAAUUUAAUUAUUACACAUCCAAACUCCUGCCCAUAUUUUAUUUAAUGAUAAAAUACAGGGACAAAUUUAUUAUCCCCACACCAAAGGCGAAGGGGAUAUUAGAAAUGCUCUCCCGCCGUGCGUGCGUGCGUCUGUCCGUGCGCCGGCAACGAUCUUUGUCCGUGGCAUAACUCCAAAAGUACUGGAGGGAUUUUCUUCAAACUUCAUACACUGAUGGAGCACAUUGGGAGGAAGUGCAUUGUGCAAGAACAAUAACUCUACCUUGCCUAUUUUUUGAGUUAUUCCCCUUUAUCAUAUUUUCUUAAAAAAUUUUGUCCGGACCAUAACUCCAAAAGUACUGGAGGGAUUUUCUUCAAACUUCAUACACUGAUAGAACGCAUUGGGAGGAAGUGCAGUGUGCAAGAACAAUAACUCUACCUUGCUUAUUUUUUGAAUUAUUCCCCUUUAUCAUAUUUUCUUAAAACAUUUUGUCCGGAGCAUAACCCCAAAAGUACUGGAGGGAUUUUCUUCAAACUUCAUACACUGAUAGAACACAUUGGGAGGAAGUGCAGUGUGCAAGAACAAUAUAUCUACCUUGCCUAUUUUUUGAGUUAUUCCCCUUUAUCAUAUUUUCUUUAAAAAAAAUUGUCCGGAGCAUAUCUUCUUCAUGCAUGGAGGGAUUUUGAUAUAUCUUGGCACAAAUAUUUACCACAACGAGGCGGAGUGUCAUGCGCAAGAACCAAGUCCCUAGGUCGAAGGUCAAGGUCACACUUAGAGGUCAAAAGAUACAAGAAUAAAAACCUUGUCCGGAGCAUUUCUUCUUCAUGCAUAGAGGGAUUUUGAUAUAACUUGGCACAAAUGUUCACCACCACGAGACGGAGUGUCUUGCCCAAGAUCCAGGUCACUAGGCCUAAGGUCAAGGUCACACCUAGAGGCCAAAGGUCAGAUACAAGAAUGACUUUGUCCGAAGCAUUUCUUCUUCAUGCAUGGAGGGAUUUUGAUGUAACUUGGCACAAUUAUACACCAUCAUGAGACGAAGUAUCAUGCGCAGUUCCCUUCUUUAGAAUUACUUCCCUUUAUUGUUACUUUAAAUAGCUUUUAUUGUAACUUUUUCAUUACUAGUUGUAGGGAAAAAUCAAGACCACUUUUCUGUAAUACAAAAAGCGUGCUUAAUCCAAUUUUGAGGUGUAUUUUGACCAAUCUCUACCUGAUAAAGAUUUUUGUGUGGACUUGCAAUUUUUUUUUGGCACCCUUGUUCCCUGUUAGCUUUCCAUUCCUUCUUUUUACCCCUGAUGCAGACCACAAUUAAACGGUUCUUCAAAGCUUUCCCCAAAAUUAAUACUUUCAGACACUAACUUGCCAGGAACUUUAGCCUUCAAUUAUAAUAUGCCCGGCGGGGGGAUUAGCCAUGUGUAACAUGGCUCUUGUUAUUUCUUAAAUCUUAACUAAUUUCAUAGUAACAAAUGAGCUUUUUUUUUUGGAUGCAGCAUAUUUUUUUUUUGUAUACACAUUAAAAUAACUAGAUGUGAAUGAAAUCUAGUAAUACAGACAUUACAAGUUGUUAGCAAAAUAUAUUUUUCAUACAAGUGUGUAAAUUUAUUGUCAGUAACACAGUGUCAUAGUUCUUACGUGAGAACAAAUGUCUGUGUGAGCAUAAUGUCAUAGUUCUUAUGUGACUUCAAAUGAAAUCUCUACCUGAUAAAGAUUUUUGUGUGGAGUUGCAAUUUUUUUUUUUUUUGAAGAUUAACUUCCCUUAGUUGUUACUAUAAAUAACUUAUAUUGUAACAUUUUUAUAAUUGACCCUAGGGAAAAAACAAGACCACUUUUCUGUGGUACAACAUAGAAGUUACUCUCCAAUUAUAGGUGUAUUUUAUUAUAUAUAAGGUAUCUCUACCUGGUAAGGAGUUUUUUUGUGGACUUUAAAAAACAAAAGACUUACAAUGAUUACUAAACAACCACAAAAUUAACAUUCCAUUUGCAAAUACAGCUGCUAGAGUAAAGAAAUUUGCUUUGACGGGCAUAUAUUGUGACAUUCUGGCACUCUUGUUCCCUGUUAGCUUUCCAUUCCUUCUUUUUACAGUAGCCAUAUAGAAAAACAUCAUAGCUAUACUGUUCAUGAAAAUUAAUAAAAUUUAGCAGUAAA